rnacentral:tRNA from 1 species
GCAUUUAUAGCUCAGUCGGUAGAGUGCAAUGCUUUUAACCUUGAGGUUGUGGGUUCAAGCCCUUGUGGGUUCA